rnacentral:rRNA from 1 species
AUACGUAGGUGACAAGCGUUAUCCGGAUUUACUGGGCGUAAAGGGCGUGUAGGCGGUCUUGCAAGUCAGAAGUGAAAUUCCUGAGCUCAACUCGGGCGCUGCUUCUGAAACUGCAGGACUUGAGUGCUGGAGGGGAUAGCGGAAUUCCUAGUGGAGCGGUAAAAUGCGCAGAUAUUAGGAAGAACACCGGUGGCGAAGGCGGCUAUCUGGACAGUAACGGACGCUGAGGCGCGAAAGCGUGGGGAGCAAACAGGAUUAGAUGCCCUGGUAGUCCACGCCGUAAACGAUGAAUACUAGGUGUAGGGGGUAUCGACUCCCUCUGUGCCGCAGUUAACACAAUAAGUAUUCCGCCUGGGGAGUACGGCCGCAAGGUUGAAACUCAAAUGAAUUGGCGGGG